rnacentral:misc_RNA from 1 species
AGCGGAUAUAAGUUUUUUCGGAAGAAAGAUAAAUCAAAGUUGGAAAAGUCGCUAGAGGGGAGUGAUAGUUCUUGUGUUGAUAAAAUAGUCAUUUUGAAGCCAAGACUUGCUACCGUUCAGAAUUCUUUAAUCCCGGUGAGUCCAAGAUCUUCUCCUCGAUCACACGACAGCUUGGUAUUUCAAGAAGACGGUGAAAGGGUUG